rnacentral:rRNA from 1 species
AGGGCGCAGGGCGAAUGCCUUGGCACUGGGAGCCGAUGAAAGACGUGAUAAGCUGCGAUAAGCUUCGGGGAGCUGCAAAUAAGCAUUGAUCCGGAGAUUUCUGAAUGAGGAAACUCACCUGGGUUCAUACUCAGGUACGUUAUACUGAACUUAAAAAUAGGUAUAUCGAGGGAACCGCCUGAACUGAAACAUCUAAGUAGGGCGAGGAAGAGACAUCAAACGAGAUUCCGUAAGUAGUGGCGAGCGAACGCGGAAGAGGGCAAACCGGAAGUAGAAAUACUUCCGGGGUACGGACCGCAUUUAGGACUUAAGUUGUUAACCGAACGGCAUGGGAAGGCCGGUCAGAGAGUGUGAGAACCACGUAGGUGAAAACGACAAGAGCUGAGCGAGUUCCAGAGUACGGCCAGACACGUGAAACCUGGUCGGAAUACGGGGGGACCACCCUCCAACCCUAAAUACUACCCAGUGACCGAUAGCGUAUAGUACUGUGAAGGAAAGGUGAAAAGCACCCCGGGAGGGGAGUGAAAAAGAACCUGAAACCCUGUGCCUACAAGCACCUAGAGCACGUCAAUGUGUGAUAGGGUACUUUUUGUAGAACGGUCCGGCGAGCGAUUGUAUGCAGCAAGGUUAAGGACUUAAGGUCUGGAGCCGAAGCGAAAGCGAGUUUGAAAAGGGCGUUAAGUUGCAUACAAUGGGCCCGAAACCGGGUGACCUACCCAUGGUCAGGUUGAAGUGGAAGUAAAAUUCCAUGGAGGACCGAACCGACCUCCGUUGAAAAGGCGGCGGAUGAACUGUGGGUAGCGGAGAAAUUCCAAUCGAACCCGGAGAUAGCUGGUUCUCCCCGAAAUAGUUUUAGGACUAGCCUCAAGUUAGAUACCUGGAGGUAAAGCACUGAAUAGCCUAGCGGCCGAGAGGUUAGCGAAGCUUAUCAAACUCAGAAUGCCAGAGUAUUGAUGCUUGGGAGUCAGACAGUGUCAGAUAAAUGUCAUUGUCAAAAGGGAAACAGCCCAGAUCUACAGCUAAGGUCCCAAAGUCAGGUUAAGUGGAAAACGAUGUGAAGAUACGCAGACAACCAGGAUGUUGGCUCAGAAGCAGCCACUCAUUCAAAGAGUGCGUAAUAGCUCACUGGUCGAGCGUCUUUGCGCGGAGAAUUUAACGGGGCUAAACCUGACACCGAAGCUUAGGCAAUGUAGUAAUACAUUGGGUAGGGGAGCGUUGUAUACGCGGUGAAACAGUAGCGCAAGCGGCUGUGGAGUGUAUAGAAGUGAGAAUGCCGGAAUGAGUAGCGCGAAUGCAGUGAGAAUCUGCAUGGCCGAAAGCCUCAGGUUUCUGGAGGAAGGUUCGUCCGCUCCAGGUUAGUCGGGAGCUAAGGUGAGGCCUAACGGCGUAGCCGAUGCACAGACGGUAGAGAUUCCGUCACCACCAAAAGAGUUAAGCACAGGGACACAUUUGAAGUCUCGGAGCCGGGUGUUGGUUCCGGUAGCGAUCGAGGGAAGUUAGUACCGAAGUCCGGGAUGGAAGAUGGCGAGAAAAGCUGUGUGUAUUUCUGCGGUGCCCGUACCGCAAACCGACACAGGUAGGUAGGAAGAAGAUUCUAAGGCCAACGGGAGAAGGGUUGUUAAGGAACUCGGCAAAUUGACCCCGUAACUUCGGGAGAAGGGGUGCUCCAGAGAUGGAGCCGCAGAGAAUCGGCCCAAGCAACUGUUUACCAAAAACACAGGUUUGUGCUAAAUCGAAAGAUGACGUAUACGAGCUGACGCCUGCCCGGUGCUGGAAGGUUAAGAGGAGAUGUGCAAGCAUUGAAUCGAAGCCCCAGUGAACGGCGGCCGUAACUAUAACGGUCCUAAGGUAGCGAAAUUCCUUGUCAGGUAAGUUCUGACCCGCAUGAAAGGCGUAAUGAUUUGGGCACUGUCUCGACAGCCCGCCCGGCGAAAUUGUAGUACCGGUGAAGAUGCCGGUUACCCGCGACAAGACGGAAAGACCCCAUGGAGCUUUACUGUAGCCUAAUAUUGGGUUUCGAUGUUGCAUGCACAGGAUAGAUGGGACACAGGGAAACAAGUGCUUUGGCAUUUGUGGAGUGGCCGUUGGGAUACCAUCCUUGCGAUAUUGGAAUUCUAACCUGCGCCUUUGAAUCAAGGCGGGGGACAUUGUUAGGUGGGCAGUUUGACUGGGGCGGUCGCCUCCUAAAGAGUAACGGAGGCGUUCAAAGGUUCGCUCAGCUUGAACGGAAAUCAAGCAAAAGAGUGCAAACGCAGAAGCGAGCCUAACUGCGAGACUGACGGGUCGAGCAGUAACGAAAGUUGGAGUUAGUGAUCCGGUGGUAUGUGAGUGGAAAUGCCAUCGCUCAACGGAUAAAAGUUACCCUGGGGAUAACAGGCUGAUCUCCCCCAAGAGUCCACAUCGACGGGGAGGUUUGGCACCUCGAUGUCGGCUCAUCGCAUCCUGGGGCUGUAUUCGGUCCCAAGGGUUUGGCUGUUCGCCAAUUAAAGCGGUACGCGAGCUGGGUUCAGAACGUCGUGAGACAGUUCGGUCCCUAUCUGUCGUGGGCGCAGGAUAUUUGAUGGGAGCUGUUCCUAGUACGAGAGGACCGGAGCGGACGUACCUCUGGCGCACCAGUUGUUCUGCCAAGGGCAUAGCUGGGCAACUAUGUACGGAUCGGAUAAACGCUGAAAGCAUCUAAGCGUGAAGCCGACCCAAAGAUAAGAUAUCCCAUUGU